rnacentral:rRNA from 1 species
GACGAACGCUGGCGGCGUGCUUAACACAUGCAAGUCGAACGGAAAGGCCCUGCUUUUGUGGGGUGCUCGAGUGGCGAACGGGUGAGUAACACGUGAGUAACCUGCCCUUGACUUUGGGAUAACUUCAGGAAACUGGGGCUAAUACCGGAUAGGAGCUCCUGCUGCAUGGUGGGGGUUGGAAAGUUUCGGCGGUUGGUGAUGGACUCGCGGCUUAUCAGCUUGUUGGUGGGGUAGUGGCUUACCAAGGCUUUGACGGGUAGCCGUCCUGAGAGGGUGACCGGCCACAUUGGGACUGAGAUACGGCCCAGACUCCUACGGGAGGCAGCAGUGGGGAAUAUUGCACAAUGGGCGGAAGCCUGAUGCAGCAACGCCGCGUGCGGGAUGACGGCCUUCGGGUUGUAAACCGCUUUCGCCUGUGACGAAGCGUGAGUGACGGUAAUGGGUAAAGAAGCACCGGCUAACUACGUG